rnacentral:lncRNA from 1 species
AAUACAAAAAUUAAAAAUUAAAUUAUUUACAAUAUAGCCGACCACAAUCAUGUACAAACAUUGAUUAUUAGCUACAAUACAUCCCACCAAUUAUUUAAUAUACAAUCAACCAAUCACCAUAAGAAUACAAACAUUAUUUACAAAAUUUAUCGAGGUUCCAAAUCCAAACUAUAAAACAUACAAAAUACUAAAAACUACAACUCAUUAUCCGCAACUUCAUUCUCAGCCUCAUCCAUUCUAUUAUCGAUAUUUCGUUGAUAUAUCCAGCUAUAAUCAGAUUUCAUCUACACAAUCAAUCAAAUUCAAGAGAUUAGUUCAAGUCACAAAAGUUCAGAUUUCAAAUACCUACACCUAAACAUUUUCAAGUAACUGAUUCACUUCACAAGUUACUAAACUAAACUUAAUUCAAAAUGAAAAAACGUACCUACACUUAAAAACAUUUUGAAGUCACUAAAUCACUUCUCAAGUGACCACACUUUACUAAAAUCAAAACGCAAGUUCACAUUUCAAGUAACUAAAUUCAAAACAAAAGUCACUAUUCCACCUUUCAAGUAACUACACUUAAACAUUUA